CCAGGCGGAGUGGGAUGACUAUGUGCCCAAACUCUGUGAACAGCUGUCUGGGAAGUAGGGCAGUGCUGGGAGACAGUAGCUGUCCCAGAAGUCUCAAGCAGUGUUCUCAAGUUCAGUGAUGCAUGUAGAUUUCUCCACUUUCCCU